CCCGGUGAUCUAGCCAUGGGCAGGUUGAAGGUUGGGUAACACUAACUGGAGGACCGAACCGACUAAUGUUGAAAAAUUAGCGGAUGACCUGUGGCUGGGGGUGAAAGGCCAAUCAAACCGGGAGAUAGCUGGUUCUCCCCGAAAGCUAUUUAGGUAGCGCCUCGUGAAUUCAUCUCCGGGGGUAGAGCACUGUUUCGGCUAGGGGGCCAUCCCGGCUUACCAACCCGAUGCAAACUGCGAAUACCGGAGAAUGUUAUCACGGGAGACACACGGCGGGUGCUAACGUCCGUCGUGAAGAGGGAAACAACCCAGACCGCCAGCUAAGGUCCCAAAGUCAUGGUUAAGUGGGAAACGAUGUGGGAAGGCCCAGACAGCCAGGAUGUUGGCUUAGAAGCAGCCAUCAUUUAAAGAAAGCGUAAUAGCUCACUGGUCGAGUCGGCCUGCGCGGAAGAUGUAACGGGGCUAAACCAUGCACCGAAGCUGCGGCAGCGACACUGUGUGUUGUUGGGUA
rnacentral:rRNA from 1 species